rnacentral:lncRNA from 1 species
AAGGGAGACAGAGAGCAGGGGGCGACUCUUAUCCACACGAGGAGCCGUGCAAUGGCCGACACGAUGCCAUCGGUGGCCAUGGCGGCCUGGAUGGACGCCACAACUCCCUGCUCUCACUGUAGCGGGAGGUAAGAGAUGACCCACAUGGGCUGGGCUCCCCUAUGCACUAGACGCCCGAUAGUGCAAUAAGUUUUAGCCAUUUUCUUUUUAAUUAUUUCCCUUUAUUUCCUCUAAAACUUUGUAUUUUGUUGAGCUACUAAAUA